rnacentral:rRNA from 1 species
AAUCAACGCUGGCGGCGUGCCUAACACAUGCAAGUCGAACGCGAAAGCCCUUUCGGGGGUAAGUAGAGUGGCGUCCGGGUGAGUAACACGUAGGUAAUCUACCUUCGGGUGGGGAAUAACUCGCCGAAAGGCGAGCUAAUACCGCAUAAUGCAGCGGCACCUAAUGGUGAUUAGUUGUUAAAGCGGGGGAUCGUAAGACCUCGCGCCUGAAGAGGAGCCUGCGGCAGAUUAGCAGUUGGUGAGGUAAUAGGCUCACCAAGGCUUCGAUCUGUAGCUGGUCUGAGAGGACGGCCAGCCGACACUGGCACUGACACACGGGCCAGACUCCUACGGGAGGCAGCAGUGGGAAUUUUGGGCAAUGGGCGCAAGCCUGACCCAGCAACGCCGCGUGAGGGAGGAAAUCCUUCGGGAUGUAAACCUCACAAGCAAGG